UAAUAUAUUAGAUGUUGAUUGUGGAAUCCUUCUGUAUUCUGAAUUGAGAGAGAGAGAGAGAGAGAGAGAGAGAGAGAGAGAGAGAGAGAGAGAGAGAUCUCUAUAUAUAUAUAUGAAUGCUGCGUUGUAAACCUGAGCAUAGAGCAAGCGAUCACUAAAAUAGUUUUACUUGUUGCAAGCACGCACCUUCACCCUAAACCCUAACCCACUUCGAGGUCCCUCACAAAAUGGUUCGUCUGCCGAUGUCGUUCCUAGACGACAAACGUAAGUUUGCUGAGAUUCCCUUAACCAGAGAGCAGUUAACGCAAAUGUUCCAGAAGCACGACAAAAACAAGGAUGGCAAACUUUCGUGGGAUGAGGUGAAGGCUGCUUUCCAAGAACUUAAAGCAUCUUACGUUUGGCUUAAAACUGAGCAAGGUUUUCGUCAUGCUGAUGAAGACGAAGAUCAGUUCAUCAAUUUGCAUGGUCGGGAGUUGGAACACCUCGUUGAAGACGCCCUAAAAUACAGGUUUACUAUUAAAUAGAUGUUGCUGUAAUUGCAACGGUGUCCUGUAAGCCUGUAAUUCCUAUAUAUAUAUAUAUAUAGUGUGUGUGUGUGUGUGAGAGACAACGUACGUUAGGCACAGCUUUUCGCGCGCGCGUGUGAUGAAUUGAAUAAGGAAGCAGGUGCCCGAUGUUGUCCCUUUAUAAGAGUAUAAACUUUAAUGAGCAAGACGCACAUAUAUAGUUUUGUUCA